UGGGGAAUUUGGACAAUGGGGCAACCCUGAUCCAGCAAUGCCGCGUGUGUGAAGAAGGCCUUCGGGUUGUAAAGCACUUUUGUCCGGAAAGAAAACGCCGUGGUUAAUACCCGUGGCGGAUGACGGUACCGGAAGAAUAAGCACCGGCUAACUACGUGCCAGCAGCCGCGGUAAUACGUAGGGUGCAAGCGUUAAUCGGAAUUACUGGGCGUAAAGCGUGCGCAGGCGGUCCGCUAAGACAGAUGUGAAAUCCCCGGGCUUAACCUGGGAACUGCAUUUGUGACUGGCGGGCUAGAGUAUGGCAGAGGGGGGUAGAAUUCCACGUGUAGCAGUGAAAUGCGUAGAGAUGUGGAGGAAUACCGAUGGCGAAGGCAGCCCCCUGGGCCAAUACUGACGCUCAUGCACGAAAAGCGUGGGGGAGCAAAACAGGAUUCAGAUACCCUGGUAGUCCACGCCCUAAACGAUGUCAACUAGUUGUCGGGUCUUCAUUGACUUGGUAACGUAGCUAACGCGUGAAGUUGACCGCCUGGGGAGUACGGUCGCAAGAUUAAAAACUCAAAGGAAAUUGACGGGGUCAUAGCUGUUUCCUG
rnacentral:rRNA from 1 species